UCGGGAAUUUUGGGCAAUGGGCGAAAGCCUGACCCAGCAACGCCGCGUGAGGGAUGACGUAUUACGGUAUGUAAACCUCGAAAGAAUGGGAAGAAUAAAUGACGGUACCAUUUAUAAGCUCCGGCUAACUACGUGCCAGCAGCCGCGGUAAUACGUAGGGAGCAAGCGUUGUUCGGAUUUACUGGGCGUAAAGGGCGCGUAGGCGGCGCGGUAAGUCACUUGUGAAAUCUCUGAGCUUAACUCAGAACGGCCAAGUGAUACUGCUGUGCUAGAGUGCGGAAGAGGCAACCGGAAUUCUUGGUGUAGCGGUGAAAUGCGUAGAUAUCAAGAGGAACACCUGAGGCGAAGGCGGGUUGCUGGGCCGACACUGACGCUGAUGCGCGAAAGCCAGGGGAGCAAACG
rnacentral:rRNA from 1 species